UGCGUAGGCGGUUUUGUAUGUCGGGUGUGAAAUCUCACCGUCCAACGGUGAAACUGCAUCCGAAACUGCAGGACUAGAGUACAGGAGGGGUAAGUGGAAUUCUUGGUGUAGCGGUGAAAUGCGUAGAUAUCAAGAAGAACGCCGGCGGCGAAGGCGACUUACUGGACUGAUACUGACGCUGAGGCACGAAAGCUGGGGGAGCAAAGA
rnacentral:rRNA from 1 species